CAGAUAUCAGGAGGAACACCAGUGGCGAAGGCGGUUCUCUGGGCCUUUCCUGACGCUGAGGAGCGAAAGCGUGGGGAGCGAACAGGCUUAGAUACCCUGGUAGUCCACGCUGUAAACGGUGGGUACUAGGUGUGGGGUCCAUUCCACGGGUUCCGUGCCGUAGCUAACGCUAUAAGUACCCCGCCUGGGGAGUACGGCCGCAAGGCUAAAACUCAAAGGAAUUGACGGGGCCCCGCACAAGCGGCGGAGCAUGCGGAUUAAUUCGAUGCAACGCGUAGAACCUUACCUGGGUUUGACAUGGAUCGGGAGUGCUCAGAGAUGGGUGUGCCUCUUUUGGGGUCGGUUCACAGGUGGUGCAUGCCUGUCGUCAGCUCGUGUCGUGAGAUGUUGGGUUAAGUCCCGCAACGAGCGCAACCCUUGUUCACUGUUGCCAGCACGUUAUGGUGGGGACUCAGUGGAGACCGCCGGGGUCAACUCGGAGGAAGGUGGGGAUGACGUCAAGUCCUCAUGCCCCUUAUGUCCAGGGCUUCACGCAUGCUACAAUGGCUGGUACAGAGAGUGGCGAGCCUGUGAGGGUGAGCGAAUCUCGGAAAGCCGGUCUCAGUUCGGAUUGGGGUCUGCAACUCGACCUCAUGAAGUCGGAGUCGCUAGUAAUCGCAGAUCAGCAACGCUGCGGUGAAUACGUUCCCGGGGCUUGUACACACCGCCCGUCAAGUCAUGAAAGUUGGUAACACCCGAAGCCGGUGGCCUAACCGUUGUGGGGGAGCCGUCGAAGGUGGGACUGGUGAUUA
rnacentral:rRNA from 1 species